AUCAUGGCUCAGGAUGAACGCUAGCUACAGGCUUAACACAUGCAAGUCGAGGGCAUCACGUGAGGCAGCAAUGCAUCUGGGUGGCGACCGGCGAAUGGGUGAGUAACGAGUAUCCAACCUGGCCCAUACUCGGGCACAGCCCGCGAAAGCGGGAUUAAUGCCCGAUGCGGCGUAUCUCCCGCAUGGGAAUUACGUCAAAGGUAUAAACUGGUAUGGGAUGGGGAUGCGUCCGAUUAGCUAGACGGCGGGUAACGGCCCACCGUGGCGAUGAUCGGUAGGGGUUCUGAGAGGAAGGUCCCCCACAUUGGAACUGAGACACGGUCCAAACUCCUACGGGAGGCAGCAGUGAGGAAUAUUGGUCAAUGGCCGGAAGGCUGAACCAGCCAAGUAGCGUGAGGGGAAUGACCGCCCUAUGGGUCGUAAACCUCUUUUGCACGGGAAUAACCGCACCCACGCGUGGGUGCCUGCAUGUACCGUGCGAAUAAGCAUCGGCUAACUCCGUGCCAGCAGCCGC
rnacentral:rRNA from 1 species